AUUUUCUUGAUGGGUCCUUCAACCUUCUUCCCCAGCCUUCUUGUAUGGCCAGACAGGGCCUCUGAUAAGGAGGGCAAGGUUACACGGGCUAGCCCGUGGCCAGCGGCAGCUCAGAAGGGGACCACCUUGAGGAAUCCACCGCCCCAGUGUGUAAACAGGCACACUGUGUUUUUUGUACACCACAGAUGGACCUAUAACAGGGGAAGUUGGGAGUGCUGGUGCUAAGGAAGAAGAGGGAAUAGAAGAAGAGAAGCAGCCUUCUCUGCCACAGGCCUCCUCCAUCUCCAUGUUCUCGG